rnacentral:sRNA from 1 species
GCUGGGCAUGGUGGCGUGCACCUGUAGUCCCAGCUACUCAGGAGGCUGAGAUGAGAGGAUGGCUUGAGCCUAGGAGAUCAAGGCUGCAGUGAGCUAUGAACAUGCCACUAUACUCUAGCCUAGGCAACACAGUAAGAUCUUGUCUCAA